AACAUAAGAGUUUACUUUUGAUCAUCAAGAAGUAUUUCUUAUUUGACGAUGUCUGAGCACUGGCCAAAGAGGUCAUGGAGUGUCCUUGGAGAUCUUCAAAAGCUGAAUGGAUGUGGUCCUGGGCCACCUGCACUAGGGGAUCAAGCUUAAGCAUUGUAGUUGAACCAAAGCAUAUUUAUAGGUCCUUUCAACCUCCACCAUUCUGUGAUUCUGCUGAUUCUAUUAUGAGCUAAUAGAACACCAGAAUUUUCCUGCGUGACUCAGUACUCAGAGGUAGUGAGCACUUCUGGAAUAUGAUGUGGUUAUAGCUGGAAGUAAAUAGAUGGUUCUUAGGAAGAAGGAACAACCUCUUCUCCAUUUUUGAAAAAAAGAUAUAGGCAACUACCUUCAGGAAUGGAAUCAGGAUCUCGUUGCUCAAGAGGAAGAAAGUGCAUUCAGAUGCUGUCCCAUUCACUUCAGCUGGAGAAGCAAGCAAAGAAUCACAUCUUUAAUUCGGUGCAGAUCAGAGGAGAUGAAGAUAUAUGCCAUAUUAUCUGGUGCUCCAAUUACUUGGAUAAUUACUUUCAGCAGCACAACAGGACAGAUUAAAUAUUCAUAUAAUCACAGAAUGAGUUGUAGAAUAGCUUGGGUUGGAAGAGACCUUAAAGAUCAUCUAGUUCUAACCCCCUCCUGUGGGAGAGAUUGACAUCCACUGGGUCAGGCCACCCAAGGUCUUGAACACUUCUAGAGAUGUAUUGUCAGCUUGUCUAGGCAAACUAUUCCAGUGCUUCACCAUCAUCUGUUAAAAAAAUCUCCUAAUAUCUAAUCCAAGUCUCCCCUUUUCCAGUUUGAAGACAGUUGCUACUAUCAUACUGUGUUAAAAGUUGGUGUCCCUUCUGUUUG
rnacentral:lncRNA from 1 species